rnacentral:rRNA from 1 species
GUAGGCUGAAACUCGCCUACAUGAAGCUGGAGUUGCUAGUAAUCGCGAAUCAGCAUGUCGCGGUGAAUACGUUCCCGGGCCUUGUACACACCGCCCGUCACACCAUGAGAGUUGGCAGUACCCAACGUACGUGAUCUAACCCGCAAGGGAGGAAGCGUCCUAAGGUAGGGUCAGCGAUUGGGGUGAAGUCGUAACAAGGUAUC